CCUACGGGUGGCUUCAGUGGGGAAUAUUGGACAAUGGGCGAAAGCCUGAUCCAGCCAUGCCGCGUGUGUGAAGAAGGCCUUCGGGUUGUAAAGCACUUUCAGUGGGGAAGAAAGCCUUGGGGCUAAUACCCUCGAGGAAGGACAUCACCCACAGAAGAAGCACCGGCUAACUCCGUGCCAGCAGCCGCGGUAAUACGGAGGGUGCGAGCGUUAAUCGGAAUUACUGGGCGUAAAGCGCGCGUAGGCGGUCUGAUAAGCCGGUUGUGAAAGCCCCGGGCUCAACCUGGGAACGGCAUCCGGAACUGUCAGGCUAGAGUGCAGGAGAGGAAGGUAGAAUUCCCGGUGUAGCGGUGAAAUGCGUAGAGAUCGGGAGGAAUACCAGUGGCGAAGGCGGCCUUCUGGACUGACACUGACGCUGAGGUGCGAAAGCGUGGGUAGCAAACAGGAUUAGAUACCCCUGUAGUC
rnacentral:rRNA from 1 species